GCAUAUCAAUAAGCGGAGGAAAAGAAACCAACAGGGAUUGCCCCAGUAACGGCGAGUGAAGCGGCAACAGCUCAAAUUUGAAAUCUGGCUCCCUCGGGGCCCGAGUUGUAAUUUGCAGAGGGUGCUUUGGCGUCGGCGGCGGUCUAAGUUCCUUGGAACAGGACAUCGCAGAGGGUGAGAAUCCCGUAUGUGGUCGCAUGCCUUCGCCGUGUAAAGCCCCUUCGACGAGUCGAGUUGUUUGGGAAUGCAGCUCUAAAUGGGAGGUAAAUUUCUUCUAAAGCUAAAUACCGGCCAGAGACCGAUAGCGCACAAGUAGAGUGAUCGAAAGAUGAAAAGCACUUUGGAAAGAGAGUCAAACAGCACGUGAAAUUGUUGAAAGGGAAGCGCUUGCAGCCAGACUUGCCUGUAGUUGCUCACCCGGGCUCCUGCCCGGGGCACUCUUCUGCAGGCAGGCCAGCAUCAGUUUGGGCGGUCGGAUAAAGGCCUCUGACACGUACUUCCUCUCGGGGAUGACAUAUAGGGGAGGCGCAAUGCGACCAGCCCGGACUGAGGUCCGCGCAUCUGCUAGGAUGCUGGCGUAAUGGCUGUAAGCGGCCCGUCUUGAAACACGGACCAAGGAGUCUAACAUCUAUGCGAGUGUUUGGGUGUCAAGCCCGGGCGCGCAAUGAAAGUGAACGGAGGUGGGAACCCCUCGGGGCGCACCAUCGACCGAUCCUGAUGUCUUCGGAUGGAUUUGAGUAAGAGCAUAGCUGUUGGGACCCGAAAGAUGGUGAACUAUGCUUGAAUAGGGUGAAGCCAGAGGAAACUCUGGUGGAGGCUCGCAGCGGUUCUGACGUGCAAAUCGAUCGUCAAAUUUGGGCAUAGGGGCGAAAGACUAAUCGAACUAUCUAGUAGCUGG
rnacentral:rRNA from 1 species